GUUAGAAGUCCCACAUUGGCUAGAGAUAGAGCAUAGAUAACCUUUAUAAGGGUAGUGCAAACCUCAACUCUUGAGCUAGCUUUUGUGGUUGAGUAUAACUAAAAAUUAAUGGCAUUCAUGAUUAAAAAUAAAAAAAUCGUUUCUGUCUUAAUUCUUAAACAAAACAUACAAUUAAAUACUGUUAGAAGUCUCACAUUGGCUAGAGAUAGAGCAUAGAUAGCCUUUAUAAAGGUUGUGCAAACCUCAACUCUUGAGCUAGCUUUUGUGGUUGAGUAUAGG
rnacentral:lncRNA from 1 species